rnacentral:rRNA from 1 species
UUAUUAUUACUAUAUAAUAUCAUACAAUUUUUAUAACCCUUUAUUCUUAUUGGAUGACUCCAUAAUUUUAUGGAAGACAUUAUGCUUAAACUAGUAACAAGAAUUCGAAAUUCUCCUAAAUCCAAUUAUAAGCUAUAAUAGACAAACUAAUGGCAAUUAACGUUAAUAAAUUGUAUAUAAUAACCCUCAAGAAAAACUUAUAUUAUAAAACGUUACCCUUACACAAGAGCAUUUUAGGAAUGAUUAAAAGGGGGAGAAGGAACUCGGCAAAUAUUAACCCCGCCUGUUUACCAAAAACAUCGCCUCUUGCUAAGAUAUAAGAGGUCUAGCCUGCCCAGUGAUUAUUUAAACGGCCGCGGUACCCUAACCGUGCUAAGGUAGCACAAUUACUUGUCCUUUAAAUGGGGACCAGAAUGAAUGACAUCACGAGGGUUUUACUGUCUCCUCCCCUCAAUCAGUUAAACUGACCUACCCGUGAAAAGGCGGGAAUUUAAAUACUAGACGAGAAGACCCCAUGGAGCUUUAGACGACAAGCAUAUCCAGAUAUUAUACAAUUAGUCCUUGAUUAAUGUCUUUAAGUCUUAGGUUGGGGCGACCAUGGAGUAAAAAUUAACCUCCACACUGAAUGGACCUUCCUUAUUUAAGAGUUACACCUCUAAGAAACAGAAUACUGACACUUACUGAUCCGGAAUCCGAUCAAUGAACUAAGUUACCCUGGGGAUAACAGCGCUAUCUACCUUAAGAGUUCAUAUCGACAGGUGGGUUUACGACCUCGAUGUUGGAUCAGGGUUUCCUAGUGGUGCAGCCGCUAC